CACACACACACACACACUGCUGUUACUCUCCAGUUUCCUUAUACACUGUCCAAGCUCCAACCAGGAUAGAACAGACUGAAGAGAGAAGAGGAUUUCAAAACCAAGAAGACACCAGAAGAAAAUCUACCUCUUCCAUUUUGUUCAACCAGCUUUCUUUUUCCUCAUCCUUCAGUGAGCCUCUGCAUUCUGUUCAUCAUGGGAAAAGGAGUCAGUGACUUUGAUUGGCAAGAGAAGCACCCAGACACCACACAGUCCCAACCAGAGAAGAGACAACCCAACACAGACUCAGACAAACACCGCUCAGGCACUGACUCAGGAGAGAAUGGCUGUAAGAAGUGCUGCAUCAGGACCAGGAACUGUGUCAUGAGUCCCGAGUGUGGCCGUGCACUAUACAUCUCCCAGGUCAUCGCAAUGUGUGGCAUGUGCAUUGGCAUGUGGACAUAGUCCAACCAUCUUUUUUCAAAGGACAACCAUUUGAUCUAUUCUCCUAGACCACAGAGAGAGAAACACAUCCAUGUUUUGACAUACUCUUAUUUCAUGUAUUCAAAAGGAAUACAUUUCUCCUCUCAUGUUUUCCUUGGAAUCUCAACCACCAUCAACACAAACAAUACGGAAGUGAAACAAAAUUAACCUUUCAUACUCUUUAUUGUCCUUAGAUAUAAUUGUGUAAAGUAUUGUCAGCUACUGUACAUUCUCCACUGUGCAGUGCUCUGUAAACUAUAUAUUUUCUAUUUUCUCCAAAUAUUUCUUAGUGUUUGUCAUUUUUGGAUACUAUUUGGCUAUUCCAUUCGUUGAUAAAAUAAAACACUUUCAAAAAG